UACGGGGGGGGCAAGCGUUGUUCGGAAUUACUGGGCGUAAAGGGCUCGUAGGUGGCCAACUAAGUCAGACGUGAAAUCCCUCGGCUUAACCGAGGAACUGCGUCUGAUACUGGAUGGCUUGAGUUUGGGAGAGGAAUGCGGAAUUCCAGGUGUAGCGGUGAAAUGCGUAGAUAUCUGGAGGAACACCGGUGGCGAAGGCGGCAUUCUGGACCAAUACUGACGCUGAGGAGCGAAAGCCAGGGAGA
rnacentral:rRNA from 1 species